GGUACAACACCUGUUAAGGGAGAAGCAAUAUAACUUCUCUAAUGUACCUGGAUACACUCCUCUGGCCACUCACUGGGUAGAAACCCCAGGACAACUUCCCAUGCGCCAGACCCCCUACCGCAUCCCUGAAGCAGUGCGGGAAAAUAUGCGGUAGUUCUUGUACCCAUUUUUGUGUGGACUACCGGAGGCUGAACAAGAAGACCGUGUCUGACGCCUAUCC